rnacentral:rRNA from 1 species
ACCUUACUACUUGGAUAACCGUGGUAAUUCUAGAGCUAAUACAUGCUGAAAAUCCCGACUUCGGAAGGGAUGUAUUUAUUAGAUUAAAAACCAAUGCCCUCUGGGCUCUCUGGUGAUUCAUGAUAACUGCGCGAAUCGCAUGGCCUUGCGCCGGCGAUGGUUCAUUCAAAUUUCUUCCCUAUCAACUUUCGAUGUUUGGGUAGUGGCCAAACAUGGUUGCAACGGGUAACGGAGGGUUAGGGCUCGGCCCCGGAGAAGGAGCCUGAGAAACGGCUACUACAUCCAAGGAAGGCAGCAGGCGCGCAAAUUACCCAAUCCCGACACGGGGAGGUAGUGACAAUAAAUACUGAUACAGGGCUCUUUUGGGUCUUGUAAUUGGAAUGAGUACAAUUUAAAUCCCUUAACGAGGAACAAUUGGAGGGCAAGUCUGGUGAACGUUGCUGGUGCCAGAGAUAGCCGCCCCUCGAUAAAUAAAGCAGCUAGUCGAGUGCUCAUGAAGUGACGGGUGAGCACCGGCGAGACAACCUGGGUCGGGGAAGGCUAAGGGCCCCCGCAUGGGGCCUAUGCUAAUCCCGAGCAGAGCCGGUACUUCGCGGCCUGUGUAGAGCGCGCCAAGGUGUCGGUUCCGGGACAGAGUGUUCCCGGGGCUUAAGGUACGUGCCAAUCCCCUGCGAAAGCAGGGCCCUGCGGACAAGCGCCCGUUACGCAAAGCUGCAGGGGGCCUCUUAGCGAGGCCGCGAUCUCAGCAAGUUGGGCCCUCCGGGGGAGACUUAGCUUAGAUGCCUUAAAUGGCCAGCAGCCGCGGUAAUUCCAGCUCCAAUAGCGUAUAUUAAAGUUGUUGUGGUUAAAAAGCUCGUAGUUGAACCUUGGGCCUGGCCGGCCGGUCCGCCUCACCGCGUGCACUGGUCCGGCCGGGCCUUUCCCCCCGCGGAACCCCAUGCCCUUCACUGGGCGUGGCGGGGAAACGGGACUUUUACUUUGAAAAAAUUAGAGUGCUCCAGGCAGGCCUAUGCUCGAAUACAUUAGCAUGGAAUAAUGAAAUAGGACGUGCGGUUCUAUUUUGUUGGUUUCUAGGACCGCCGUAAUGAUUAAUAGGGACAGUCGGGGGCAUCAGUAUUCAAUUGUCAGAGGUGAAAUUCUUGGAUUUAUUGAAGACUAGCUACUGCGAAAGCAUUUGCCAAGGAUGUUUUCAUUAAUCAGGAACGAAAGUUAGGGGAUCGAAGACGAUCAGAUACCGUCGUAGUCUUAACCAUAAACUAUGCCGACUAGGGAUCGGACGAUGUUAUCUUUUGACUCGUUCGGCACCUUACGAGAAAUCAAAGUGCUUGGGCUCCAGGGGG